CCUACGGGAGGCAGCAGUGGGGAAUAUUGCACAAUGGGGGAAACCCUGAUGCAGCGACGCCGCGUGAGCGAUGAAGUAUUUCGGUAUGUAAAGCUCUAUCAGCAGGGAAGAAAAUGACGGUACCUGACUAGGAAGCCCCGGCUGACUACGUGCCAGCAGCCGCGGUCAUACGUAGGGGGCAAGCGUUAUCCGGAUUUACUGGGUGGAACGGGAGCGUAGACGGCGGUGCGAGCUGGGUGUGAAAGCCCGGGACUUAACCUGGGGAGUCCAUUUGGUACUGCGGUGCUAGAGUGCAUGAGAGGUGGGUGGAAUACCAAGGGUAGCAGUGACAUGCGUAGAUAUUUGGAAGAACACCGGUGGCGAAGGCGGCCCCCUGGGCCGCAACUGACGCUCAUACACGAAAGCGUGGGGAGCAAACAGGAUUAGAUACCCGUGUAGUC
rnacentral:rRNA from 1 species